rnacentral:rRNA from 1 species
GGGUUGUGAGGUUAAGCGACUAAGCGUACACGGUGGAUGCCCUGGCAGUCAGAGGCGAUGAAGGACGUGCUAAUCUGCGAUAAGCGUCGGUAAGGUGAUAUGAACCGUUAUAACCGGCGAUUUCCGAAUGGGGAAACCCAGUGUGAUUCGUCACACUAUCAUUAACUGAAUCCAUAGGUUAAUGAGGCGAACCGGGGGAACUGAAACAUCUAAGUACCCCGAGGAAAAGAAAUCAACCGAGAUUCCCCCAGUAGCGGCGAGCGAACGGGGAGCAGCCCAGAGCCUGAAUCAGUGUGUGUGUUAGUGGAAGCGUCUGGAAAGGCGUGCGAUACAGGGUGACAGCCCCGUACACAAAAAUGCACAUGCUGUGAGCUCGAUGAGUAGGGCGGGACACGUGGUAUCCUGUCUGAAUAUGGGGGGACCAUCCUCCAAGGCUAAAUACUCCUGACUGACCGAUAGUGAACCAGUACCGUGAGGGAAAGGCGAAAAGAACCCCGGCGAGGGGAGUGAAAAAGAACCUGAAACCGUGUACGUACAAGCAGUGGGAGCACGCUUAGGCGUGUGACUGCGUACCUUUUGUAUAAUGGGUCAGCGACUUAUAUUCUGUAGCAAGGUUAACCGAAUAGGGGAGCCGAAGGGAAACCGAGUCUUAACUGGGCGUUAAGUUGCAGGGUAUAGACCCGAAACCCGGUGAUCUAGCCAUGGGCAGGUUGAAGGUUGGGUAACACUAACUGGAGGACCGAACCGACUAAUGUUGAAAAAUUAGCGGAUGACUUGUGGCUGGGGGUGAAAGGCCAAUCAAACCGGGAGAUAGCUGGUUCUCCCCGAAAGCUAUUUAGGUAGCGCCUCGUGAAUUCAUCUCCGGGGGUAGAGCACUGUUUCGGCAAGGGGGUCAUCCCGACUUACCAACCCGAUGCAAACUGCGAAUACCGGAGAAUGUUAUCACGGGAGACACACGGCGGGUGCUAACGUCCGUCGUGAAGAGGGAAACAACCCAGACCGCCAGCUAAGGUCCCAAAGUCAUGGUUAAGUGGGAAACGAUGUGGGAAGGCCCAGACAGCCAGGAUGUUGGCUUAGAAGCAGCCAUCAUUUAAAGAAAGCGUAAUAGCUCACUGGUCGAGUCGGCCUGCGCGGAAGAUGUAACGGGGCUAAACCAUGCACCGAAGCUGCGGCAGCGAC